GGACCUCAAAUCAGGAGGACN
rnacentral:rRNA from 1 species